rnacentral:tRNA from 2 species
UCGGAUAUGGUGUAACGGCUAACAUUGCCGCCUCUCAUAUCAGAGAGUUUGCCCGCGGCAGCUCGGGGUUCGAUUCCCCGUAUCCGAA